rnacentral:tRNA from 1 species
AAGAUGUUAGUAAAGCAUUACAAGGCCUUGUCAAGGCCUAAUCACCGGUUAAAGCCCGGUACGUCCUA